rnacentral:ncRNA from 1 species
CGCCCGUCCGAGGGGUGUUCUUGAAAAGAACUGAGAUGGCGUCUGGCGCGAAAGCGCCUCAGGCCCGGACCCUUCGAACCUGAUCCGGGUCAUGCCGGCGAAGGGACGGGACGCAAGACGACG